CGAGAGUUUAACAACUUUAACCAUUUUUCUAAGUAAAUUGAUGACAGUCACCCCUCCUGUGCAGAAGGUCUAUGGAACAGCAGUUCUUUGCUCUCUAGUAAUUCCGUGUUGAGCCUCGUAUUAGCUACGUGGGAGUCACUUAGCUGGAACGACAGGCAACAGAAAAAUUCUCUUUCUAAGGCCAACAUUGCCCCCUUCUGCUGUAAACCGGACAAGACAUGCAACUUUCCGAUUUCCAAGUUCCUGUUUUUUUGGCAUGCCAUCCAGAAAUGGUAUCAGCUGCUCCCUUCCCAUAAGCAUCACCAGACUCCCAAAACGAUGGGGAAAGAAGUCAAAAGAGAUCUGUGAGAGCCUCCUCUGAAGGCUAUGACCAGCUGCUUUUUCACAGCCUUCCAAACACCUACUUGAACUAUGAUCCCAAGAAGCCGCUUUCAAACAAGACUUCUUUGAUUUUAUUAUUCAAUACACUGUUUAAGUUGAAUCUCAGCUGGAAUGGAAAGACUAUUGUUUUUAGUAUUAAAAUAAAAGUUAAGUUUGUAUGAUGAUGUCCA
rnacentral:lncRNA from 1 species